CGGGUGAGUAACGCGUGGGUAACCUGCCAUAUACAGGGGGAGUAACAGCGAGAAAUUGCUGCUAAAACCGCAUAAGCGCACGGAGUCGCAUGACUCAGUGUGAAAAACUCCGGUGGUAUAUGAUGGACCCGCGUCUGAUUAGCCAGUUGGCAGGGUAACGGCCUACCAAAGCGACGAUCAGUAGCCGGCCUGAGAGGGUGGACGGCCACAUUGGGACUGAGACACGGCCCAAACUCCUACGGGAGGCAGCAG
rnacentral:rRNA from 1 species